AUCCCUAGUGAAGUCGCAGCAAAGGAAGCGGUGGCACUUGUGGUAAAAGAGAUGGCAAGCGAAUCAUAACUGCAGGUAUGUGUGGUUCUCCUCGCCUGGCAGUGAUUCAACGGGUAUUUGUGGUUCUUCUCGCACGGGAUGCCAUGAGAAUAAGCUGGAAUUGGGUAUGUGUGGUUCUCCUCGCCUAUUAGCUUAUCAGAUGAUGCCGCCUAGAUUGACUUGAACCAUUGCUGGGUGAGAGCGAGUGGCCGCUGCCAGAUGACUAAGCCAUGACUUGAGCCAUUGUUGGGUGUGAUGCGAUGAGUUCGCCGCCAAGUGGCUAAGUCAUGACUUGAGUCAUUGUUGGGUCGAUGCGAUGAAUUCGCUGUCAGAUGGUUAAGUCAGAGGUGCGGUAGGCUGUGACGGCAGCCGGAAUGAGAUGCAGCCAGUGCGCGAACUAUCCGCGGAUGAUUGACUCGAGGCCGAGUCGAGUGGUUAGCUUGAUUAGGUUAAUA
rnacentral:lncRNA from 1 species